AUACGAAGGUCCCAAGCGUUAUUCGGAAUCACUGGGCGUAAAGAGUACGUAGGCGGUUUGGUAAGUCAGGUGUGAAAUCCCGGAGCUCAACUCCGGAACUGCAUCCGAUACUGCCAGACUUGAGUAAUGGAGAGGCAGGUGGAAUUCUCGGUGUAGCAGUAAAAUGCGUGGAUAUCUAGAGGAAGACCAAUGGCGAAGGCAGCCUGCUGGACAUUUACUGACGCUCAGGUACGAAGGCUAGGGGAGCGAAAGGGAUUAGAUACCCUAGUAGUCC
rnacentral:rRNA from 1 species